GAUCCUGCUAAUUAAAGUAAAAGGCUUAUUGUGUUUUCUCUAGGGAGACUUUGGAGGCAGGUGGUGACCUGAACACAGCAGUACUUCUAGAAGGAUUUGCAGCUUUUGCAAAGCAGAGCUCUUUUUUGGGGGGACGGUGUGGGCAGCCGGAAGGGGUGCAUUUUGAAGCCCAGCAUCUUCCUGCAUGUCUCAAGUCUUCUGGGAAAAGAAUCUCUUGUCUCUGUGCACCUUCUUGAAGCAUUUACUUUGGCCUUCAUAAAAUUGAAUGUGAAAGCGGGUCCUCUUUGUGUGGAAAAUUGUUACCAAAUCCUUCUGAAGGAGGACCUGAAAGUGCUGGAAUUGGGGACAGAGGGAAAUCAAUCUCUUUACUCACUCACACUGGUGGCAGAGGUCUCUCUCUCUCAGGGAAAUAGAGCCCCACUGAAAUUAAUUGUUUGGGGAAAGAAGGGGAAAAUGUUUUCUUUACCAAUCCAAGAACCCUCAACAUCUAUAGAAAGGAGGUCAUUUUAGAAGCCUCAAAGGAAUUUUUGGAAGAAGAGGUAUAACCACAUCUCCG
rnacentral:lncRNA from 1 species